rnacentral:rRNA from 1 species
UACGUAGGUGGCGAGCGUUGUCCGGAUUUACUGGGCGUAAAGGGAGCGUAGGCGGACUUUUAAGUGAGGUGUGAAAUACUCGGGCUCAACUUGAGUGCUGCAUUUCAAACUGGAAGUCUAGAGUGCAGGAGAGGAGAAUGGUAUUCCUAGUGUAGCGGUGAAAUGCGUAGAGAUUAGGAAGAACACCAGUGGCGAAGGCGAUUCUCUGGACUGUGACUGACGCUGAGGCUCGAAAGCGUGGGGAGCAAACAGG